GCAAACUUUUAACCAACUUUGAGUUCUUCAGUGUCUUGAAGCGAAAACAGCGCCAGGUGUUCAUGAAUGAAAUGUUGAUCUGUGACUGCAUUCACAUGGAUCUCAGUUCAACAACAGUCUUACAGUUUCAUUACAGUCUCUCAGGAUGAAGCUGUGCAACUCCAGACACUCUCAAGAACAACAAGAACCACUUGACAAAUGACAAUUGCGUCUCGCUGUCUCUGUGUCCCGCGGCUGAAGGAAGGUGUUGACGGGUCAAAACAUGCAUCUUUUAACCCUUAAUGUGCUGGAAAGAGCAGCUGAUCUUGUCAACAGGUGCAUGAAUGGAUUCUGUAGCGUCUGUCCUGUUUUCAUCACACUGUAGCAGUAAAUGUUGAUGUAAGACGCCUGUAAUGUCCCUCAGGGCUCCAGAAAGCUCAUAUCUGACAUGAAGAACUGAAAAGACAUGGAGAGAAUACAGGUGUUAAAAGACGAGUCUAAAGGACGUAAACCACACGAAUCAGCAUCUUGAUUUAUUGGGAUCUGCAGCGUAUACAGUCAUGAAGAGCGUGCGUGUGUGUGUGUGUGUGUGUCUCCAAUCUGUCUGAGCUGAGUAAUGUUUGCUUGUUGAAUGACGUAAAAACAGCCGAACAUAAAUGUUUAGUGCUGUCUGUCUGGAGUUGUGAUUUUGGGCCAACAGGUGUGGUUCCCGAUGAUUGCCUGGAAUGUUUUUAUGCUACUAGUGCGCUUGUCAGUUUUCUGAUGCUUCAUGUCUUUAUUAUUAUUAUUUUUUUAUGUGCAUGUUGUUUUUAGUUCAGAGGAAUAUUGUCUCAGGGCUGGAAAGACUCACUUAGCCACAUGAAAUAUUAUUAUAAAUGCA